GAUGAACGCUGACAGAAUGCUUAACACAUGCAAGUCGACUCGAGUCUUCGGACUUGGGUGGCGCACGGGUGAGUAACGCGUAAAGAACUUGCCUCUUAGACCGGGACAACAUUUGGAAACGGAUGCUAAUACCGCAUAAGACCACAGCUCCGCAUGGAGCAGGGGUCAAAGGAUUUAUUCGCUUGAAGAUGAGCUCGCGUCCGAUUAGAUAGUUGGUGAGGUAACGGCCCACCAAGUCGACGAUCGGUAGCCGGACUGAGAGGUUGAACGGCCACAUUGGGACUGAGACACGGCCCAG
rnacentral:rRNA from 1 species